ACAUUGGUAGUUCAGUGGUAGAAUUCUAACCCUCCAUGUAGGAGACCCAGGUUUGAUUCCUGCUCAAUAUA
rnacentral:tRNA from 1 species